rnacentral:lncRNA from 1 species
GCCAGUUCUGGGACGGGUCUAGCAGGAAAACAUCCCCCCCAAGGUCACCGCAGCUCUAAAGCGGCUGCCGAGGAGCUGAUUUAUUUGCGGUUUCUUUGCAGUAACGCUAUCGCUCUGAUUCCGGGGAGGGAGGGAAAAAAAAUAGGAAGAAGAAAGAAAAAGAAAAAUGCUUGCGGUGGAGUUUAACCUUGGAUGAAACUGGCAAAGCUUUGUUGUUUUUCCGAGGCGCUUCGUUGGGGCCUUGCAGGGACUGCUAGCCCGGGAAUGUGGAUCUACAGCCUCUUGCUGCUCGGCUACUACGCGGGUCAGUGCUCACAUUUCUCUGCGCCGGGCCCAAAGCCCUCGGCUCCUCUAAAAGUGCUUUUGAGACAUCGUUGGGAAUCUAAGAGCUCCGUGGGUGAGAGCAAGGUUUCCAUAUCCCUGCACCUCGCAUCUGACACACAGAGAAGCAACCGAGAGGGUAAAUGCUUGCCCCCCCCCCCCCCCCCGUGCAGCUGUCCCCACCCUGAGCCCCAUGCACUCACAGGGACCAGCAUAAUCGUCUGUUGCCUGCCCCUUUGGCAAAGAAAAUUCUUGUAGCAUGAGACGUUAGAAACCGCAAAUACACUCCCUUGGGUAGUUCGCCCUCCCUCCCA